rnacentral:lncRNA from 1 species
AAAGAGAAACUGAGAGUGGCUGAUCUAUACUAUCGUACACACAGUUUGGUAAUAGUUUAUAUAUGAUAUAUACUUUAUCUAUUUUGUUGAUAUAUUUGAUUAUGUUUUCGGAUCGGAUCGUGUCAAUACGCCGUUUUCACAUAUACGUGUAUGAGGCGUGACAUUGUGUUAUCCGAUCCAGUUGCGAUGAUCGCAAUUUUGCGCUAGCAACGCCGUUGUUUUUUUUAAUUCAUUUUUUUAUAUAUAUACAUAUAUUUAGAUCUGCACAUUUUUUUUCAUAACUAACUACCCUGAUUUUUCCUAAACCCUGACAAUUUCGCCACAAACUCUAAAUUUCAAACCUAAAACUUUAACCGUGUUGUUUCCUCUAAACCAUAAACCUUUUCUUAAAC